rnacentral:rRNA from 1 species
CCGCUAUUGGAGUUCGAUUAAGCCAUGCGAGUCGAGAGUCCUCGGGACUCGGCGUACCGCUCAGUAACACGUGGGUAACCUGCCCUAUGCUGGGGAAUAACCUCGGGAAACUGAGAAUAAUGCCCCAUAGCCCACUACGCCUGGAACGGUGAGUGGGUCAAAGCUCCGGCGGCAUAGGAUGGGCCUGCGCCGUAUCAGGUUGUAGGGGGUGUAAAGUACCCUCUAGCCAUCAACGCGUACGGGUGUUGGGAGACAUUGCCCGGAGAUGGAUUCUGAGACACGAAUCCAGACCCUACGGGGUGCAGCAGGCGCGAAAACUCGGCAAUGCGAGCAAUCGUGACCAGGGAACUCCAAGUGCGUAGGGUAAGACCUACGCUUUUCUUGACUCUUCAAAGGUCUUGGAAUAAGGGGUGGGUAAGGACGGUGCCAGCCGCCGCGGUAAUACCGGCGCCUCAAGUGGUAGUCGCUUUUAUUGGGCCUAAAACGUCCGUAGCCGGUCUGGUGCAUUCGCGGGUAAAUCAACCCGCUCAACGGGUUGAAUUCUGCGAGCACGGCCAGACUUGGGACCGGGAGAGGUGUGGGGUACUCUCAGGGUAGGGGUAAAAUCCUGUCAUCCUGAGAGGACCACCUGUUGCGAAGGCGCCACACUAGAACGGAUCCGACGGUCAGGGACGAAACCUAGGGGCACGAACCGGAUUAGAUACCCGGGUAGUCCUAGGUGUAAACGCUGUGGACUUGAUGUUGGGGGCGCUCCGAGCGCUCUCAGUGUCGAAGCGAAGGUGAUAAGUCCACUGCCUGGGGAGUACGGUCGCAAGGCUGAAACUUAAAGGAAUUGGCGGGGGAGCACUGCAACCUGAGGAUUGUGCGG